AGCGAACAUUGGCGGUAGGCUUAACACAUGCAAGUCGAGCGAGGCGUAAUAGUCGAGCGGCGAACGGGUGCGUAAUACAUGGGAAUCUACCCUGAAGUGGGGGAUAACGUUCAGAAAUGGACGCUAAUACCGCAUAAUCCACAUUGGGAAAGCGUUGCAGCGCUUUAGGAUGAGCCCAUGGCUGAUUAGCUAGUUGGUGAGGUAAUGGCUCACCAAGGCGACGAUCAGUAGCUGGUCUGAGAGGAUGACCAGCCACACUGGAACUGAGACACGGUCCAGACUCCUACGGGAGGCAGCAGUGGGGAAUCUUGCGCAAUGGGGGCAACCCUGACGCAGCCAUACCGCGUGAGUGAUGAAGGUCUUCGGAUUGUAAAGCUCUUUCGGCGGGGACGACGAUGACGGUACCCGCAAAAGAAGUCACGGCUAACUUCGUGCCAGCAGCCGCCGUAA
rnacentral:rRNA from 1 species